rnacentral:rRNA from 1 species
UGGGGAAUAUUGCACAAUGGGCGCAAGCCUGAUGCAGCCAUGCCGCGUGUAUGAAGAAGGCCUUCGGGUUGUAAAGUACUUUCAGCGAGGAGGAAGGCGUUGUGGUUAAUAACCGCAACGAUUGACGUUACUCGCAGAAGAAGCACCGGCUAACUCCGUGCCAGCAGCCGCGGUAAUACGGAGGGUGCAAGCGUUAAUCGGAAUUACUGGGCGUAAAGCGCACGCAGGCGGUCAGUCAAGUCGGAUGUGAAAUCCCCGGGCUCAACCUGGGAACUGCAUCCGAAACUGGCAGGCUAGAGUCUUGUAGAGGGGGGUAGAAUUCCAGGUGUGGCGGUGAAAUGCGUAGAGAUCUGGAGGAAUACCGGUGGCGAAGGCGGCCCCCUGGACAAAGACUGACGCUCAGGUGCGAAAGCGUGGGGAGCAAACA